GGCUACUUAGAACUCCUCGUAAAUCAAUGAGAUGACCUUCCGCCAGCGACGUUAGAUUCGCGUGUUGUGCAAUAGGUACAUACGUAUAGCUGAUUUCAUAUCUAAUACUCGCUGCACUUUGAACACUUGCACAUCCAUUCCGACCGACGGUAUUAUUGGGCGCAUGUAUCCAUAUUCAAGGCCGGUAUGCACUUACCUUAUAGCUUCACUUACAGUGUGCGGCUCUAUAAUUAUAAAGGCUUGGCUGUAGAGAACGAUUUUUCUUGCUCUAUGAAAACGGUAAAUUGCCGUUUCCAAAGUACGAAAACUUCGUUUUUGCGCAAUGAAAUUUACCACCGCACGCUAAGUGAUGUUUCCUUUGUUUUUUCCCUUAUGUAUACGAGGAUAUAACCGACUGCAGUUUUUCACGACUCUGGAGUUUGAUUCAUUUGCGAAGCUAAAUGAUUAGCAAUUGGUUGCGAACAAUCGGUCAUACUUAUAAAUCACAUGGGACUGCGACGGGCGGCUGCUUGGUACAUACAUGCAUAUGUUAUAUGUACAAUAUGUUCACGCACAUGUGUACGGAGGAAUAAUAAUGACGAUAGGUAUCCAUGCAGCCGUUUAAUUGGGAGCAACUGAUCAUUAGCGGCAAUUCGGUGCGAGCUUUGAGAUUUAUUGGAGAGUCUAGCGCGUUAAUAUACCACUUUUUAACCCUUUGAGAAGCGUAGCGUGUUGGGUAGGUUAUACCGCGAUGGCGGAGAAGGAAGGAAGGAAGCAGCAGAGAGAAAGCAGCGCUUUAUCAACCGGGUCAUCUCCCUUGCUUCCUGAAUCCAUAUACACCUGUAUACAUACCCGAACCUAAGUAUAUGUAUGUACAUAAGAAUAACAUUCUCUGCAAGGUUCUUAAGACUCGAUUAUAAUAACUCGAGAGGUUAAAUCUCUGACGCGUAAAACUUUGGAGUGAUCUAAUUAUAAAUAAUUUCUUUAACGAUGUACGACAUGAUUUUUAAGCACACUGUACACGAUAAGGAAGAUUAUUAUUCAACGUCAUCACCUAUACAUAUAUACUAAACGAGCAGCGCUAUAACGAUAACAAUAUAUUGGUAUUUGUCGACUGGAGGAUUUUCUAAAAAAGAAGCAACCUAUUUCGGAGGGAUCAAUCUCCACUCCAAUCAUAACAUCGGUUCUCAUCAAUCUUGCAGACACAUUGUGUAGAACCUCCACCUCAAAGUCACCUUCGAACGAUGUACUUGAAAAAAAUAUUUUCCAUUGGAAAUAUUACUCGGAGCUUUAGCACAUAUGUACAGCAGCACCUAUUUUGUGCGGAUACGUUGCUAAGGAGGUGCUAUUGGAAAAAAAAAAAAAAAAACUUCCGUACGUAUACGUAGUACAUGUAAUCUACGGUAUAGCCGUUCAGCCGGCGUGAUUGACGGAUGAAAACCGAUAAUGAUUGCUCGGUUUCUGAACGACGUGCAACGGGUAGUACCGCGGGGAAUAAACUUCGCCAGGAAUCGCGUGCACCGAAUAUACCGGCUCCGCCUUGGCUCGGACUAGGUGAUAAAAGACCCGAGUGAUGCAUGCGCCUAUCCGCGGCGGCUGCGGAUUACAACUAUGAUUCGCUGCUUCGACCUCGGACGUAACAGUAUUUUCAUACCGCCAUGAAUAAACCAGCCUUCGUUUCCUCGCAUGAACUUAAACAAAACUAUGAUUUUUAACCGACAAGGAAAUUCAACCCCGCUUCGGAGCAGAAUGAACAGUAAAAUUCGUCGAACAGUAAAGUCCGUCAUUUCAUGCCGAUCGUCGAAAAAUUGAUGGAGCUUCGAUGUGGGACAAGGUUUUUCUGCGAUUAUGGCAUCGAGCGGGGUCGUGCAGUCUGAAACUAGCGUCGUUAUGAUUCUUAUAUAUCGUACUCGUACAGGUACAGAAAUGCGAACUCUGCUUAUGUAAACUAUUUUAUCACUCGCUGCAGAGGAACUGUAAGAUACAAUUGCAGGGCAAAACCGUACGACUAGUAUACUUUACCUGCACCCCGGGACAAUUACUUAGAAUCCAGUUUAUCACUCCGGAUAUAAAGUGACCGUUUGUAGUAGAGCUUCAAGGCACAGAUUAUAAGGCGCGUAUGAUGCGGUGCAAGAGUGAAAAAACAAAAUAUAUAAACACCGAAUUAAUUAGGAUUUUAGUGAGAUUCUUCCGACUGCAAGUAUAUACAUACGUAUACGCAAAAGUACACAUACAAGGCUCGUCUGGAAGAAAAUUGUAUCUACUUAUGUACGUGAAAACCACUUUCUGGGGAUAGUUGUCCUAAUUUCUAAUCUAAAACGUCCUCUUCGUUUCGAAAGCCGACAAGCUCAGAUUGUCUAUUACGUGCCCGGCAAUAUAAGCGUAUUGAUUUUUAACACCCACCGCAAGCCUGGAUAAAUAAUGUAUAUAUAUAUAUAUAUAUAUACUCGUAUGUGUGCAUAUGUUAAGAUUGAAUGGGUCUGCCUCUAUCUAUAAGGGGAAAAGCUGUAAGAUUUCCAUGUAUGUGCAUUGCAUUCACACGUCGGAGAUAGAUAGAAACAGAGCGCAUGCUCUAAUAGAGUGAAUCGUGCCAACGGAUUUCAUUGUCAGUUAAGAAGCACUCCGAACUACUCACGUAUUUAAAUAUCAGUUUUAUCAAUGAUAAUAUUCGAGAGUGGAUCUCCUCUUCUCGUGUCACCCUUAUAUCACGUUACACAAGGGCAGAUGAGAUGGUCGGAAAAUUUAGAAAAAAAAAAAAAGAAAGAGAGAGAGAGAAAAGUAAAAUGGGUAUCCCAACGUACCCCGAUUCGCCCUUUCUGCACGGUUCUUCCCAUGGAAUCUUUUCAAUCCAAAUAUAAUUCGGUACAAAAUGAAUUUCGGUACACCGCGUACUGCCCCCGAAAGCGAAAUCUGUCAAAGGCAACAAGGAAACAGUGUUUUUUGUUCCGAGGGAGAUCCGGGGGGCACUGCAGCGGCCAUGUUUAUGCAACGAAAACUAUCCCGAGGUGAACUAGUUUUACUCGCAUUUAUUUAUGUAUAUGUAUGAGUAACACGGGUACGUGUAAAUACGUAUAUAUACGUGUUUAUUACAUCAUUUAUGCAUGCACAACACAGCCAACUUCAGCUUAUUGUGCCAUGUUACACCCACACAGCAACGUGCCGUCUGCUGCACUCGCACAAAUGCAUUCAGAUUUAACAAAUCGAGGCGAUGAUCGAUUCGAGGGCAAUUGGCUUGUCUGUAUAUUUACAACUACCGGAGAAAACUCCGCGCUAUGACGUUGGGCUAAAUGUAUAAAUACCUAUACAGGGUGGGGCAUUCAACUUGGCACACCUCAAUAUCUCGCCAGCUAGACCUUUUUUCGAAAAAAUGGUUUAUGCAAAAGAUAUUUAGCUGCAAAAUGGAAAUGUAACGGCAUUUUUCAUUUUCUGUACAGCGGAUGGGUUCAAGGUUAUUUCAAGGUCAGUGUCAGUUUUUCGAAUAAAAUCAUCAACUUCGCAAUCUACGGAAAGAACAAUUUUUCUGUUGGGCCUUUUUGUUUUAGAUAUUCAAUUUCAAAUUUUCCCAAAAUUGCAUAAAAACGACGAAAACGAAAACAAAACGUCGUAAUCUUAAUCGAAAGUAGAACAUAUUUUUGUAGGGAAUGCUUGAAACAAUGCACAUAACGAUGAUUUUGGAGAAUUUCUUACGCUACAUGUUCAAUUUUAUGUUUAGUUUUUCAUCAGGAUUAUUGUUUUAUAGUUUCUAUAUAAUGUGAGACAAAUUCAAAAUUGAAUAUCUAAAAAAAUAUAGGCUUAACAGAAAAAAUGUUCGAAUAAAAGUUGUUCGUUUUCUGUCGUAAAUCGCUAAAUCGAUGAAAAAAAUAUAGGUUUCUAUUUAAAAAACCGUCAUCGAUCUUCAAAUAACCUUGAACGCAUCAGCCAACCGAAAAUAAGUAAUGCCAUUAAAUUUCCCCUUUAAAGCCAGAUAUUUUUUGUGAAAACCGUUUUUUUUUUUCGAAAAACAUCUAGCUGGCGAGAUAUUCAGGUAUCCCGUGUUAAAUGCCCCACUCUGUACUAUAAGGGUAUCGUCGAGGCAAUCGUCUACUACGCUACUACUCUAUCAUCGUCUGCCGCUAUCUGAUAAAAUCGGAUUUAUGCGAAACUGCACAUCUCUGACUGGGUAAUGUUUCCCUCCCCAUCGUUUUCUCUGCAGCAGUUAACGGAUCGAGGCUCAAGAAUUGCAAUACAAGCUUUUUUCUCCGUUGCGGGCCUCGAAUUUAUUGUUUCAAUUUUCUUCAGAUUCUUGAGCUUAUAUGUCAAGCUUCAAGAGAAUUAAUCCCUACCAGUAGGGUCUGUCCUUCGAAAGUCACGUGAACUUGCGAGGAAGGUGCAGCUUCGCAGAUUCGAUCCUUCGCAUCGUUUUCAAUUCUUAGAAGUGCGCACCAAAUCCAUACAGUUUUUUCUUCACGAACCAGGUUUUUCAUAUCAAGCGGAUACCGCCGAAUUUCACUUUCGGUAUAACGUCUCUGCCGCUCCUUUCCAUAUUACCGCAGCUGCACGUCCUUCGGUGUAAUCUAUGCCGUAGAAAUGUAUUCGCUGGGUAUUCGCAUAUAGGUACGUACGUACAUACGUGCGUAUGGCAUGAUAUGCGGAUGAAUAUAAUGUCUGGAUAUAUAGAUAUAAUUGAACCCUUUGUUUUUGUAAUGGAAACCCUAAUUUCGGAGUAUUCCAUCGUGCUUUUGCUCUCCAACUUCGAUCCCCUUUUCUUCGCAGCCAAUCCCUGCCAGUUCCACGUCGUUUUAUACGCGUAUAGGUAUACCAUCCCCUGGCAAGGCUGUUAAAUUACACGGAGUAACCGAACCGUUUCUAUACAUGUUACCUAUGUAGGUACUUGUUAUUAAUGCGCGUUUUACGUAGGCGGUGGAAAAUCUUAUUUUCUUCUAUUUAUAUACGUAUACACGAUAUUGUAUUAAAGCCCAGACUGAAACUCUCGAGUGAAAUUUAAUCCCCAUAUUUUUUUCGAAUCGUCAAUUUAAUCUGACGGCGCUAUAAAAAGACCGGUCCUUGAAGUUCCUCGGAGAUUGAUUUUUUCUCUCGAUUUCGAUGCCCUUCUGGAUCCCAAUAAUUUUUCGCGGAGCCACGUGUAAGAUCAUCCCUGUGCUUUUUUGGAUAGAUACUUCUCCGUUCAAUUUUUGUUCUGCCUCCUAAUUUAUCGCUAUCAUCCUCAUUGCCAGGUUAAUGAAAAACAAACAAACACAUAAAUGUACCAAUUCCUUAAAUAUCUAAUUUUUUAUCGUUUCGAGAGAAGAAUGUCUGCCUUUUUCACCUAACCUAACCUAACCUCACUGGCGGGACGUUACAAUACAUAUACGUAUAGCCAUGUGGUAUACACAUAUUGUUUCAGGUAAUAAUCAGAGACCCGAAUAUCAAACGAUCAGUGUGGGGGGAGGGGGGCAUAUGCGAGAUUAUAUUUCGAUUGGCACGAUAAGAGUAAUUCAAAAAUUUUCGAAACGAUUUAGCGGGCAUUGAGUUUUGGUACCGUGAAAAAUGAAACCAGAUAAUGUUUUCAUAAAUUGUUGCGAAUUUUGCUUAAAUUAGGUACGAGAUUGUUGUCAAAUUUGCUCCUCGACUGUAAUGGACCUUCUCAGUAUCUGAAAAACAUCUGCAGACAACAAAUGUGUACAGCCUAGUUUAAAUCCGGGCUGUACAUACAAAGUGCGAUUGAAGUUUCGUGAGAAUUUCCUGCCCAUUAUUGUGGGCUACGGCUGAGAACCGCUGGCUUAAAACAGCACUGUGAAGCAGAUCGAUACCCACCACCCUCAAACUGGAAGUCGAACUGAAACCGAACGCACACCAAAAAGCCCUGAACAGCGAGCUACCAUCACCCUGAUUCCGACCGUGUUGAAGUACUACGAACCUCGAUCCUAAAUACUCGUCGAAACACGACGGGGAAAGAACCUAAGUAGAAGUAUUUUCCGACCACCCGAUUUUACAACGACUUCGAGGCAAGUAUUGUUCCGAACACACCGAGAAUCGGAUGAUAUGUUCGCCGGUGUUCGGAGCAAAAAACUGCAAACUUGUAGGAGAUAAAAGUCGGUGCAACGUCUAACAAUAAUUGAACCAAAGGAUACACUCGAGCCGAGAGUUUGCGCAAAUCCUCAUCAAAUUGAUAUAAGUAGGUACUAGGGUACGUACAAAAGUGUGUAAAAGCGGCUACGUAAAUUUCAGAAAUUUUUUAAAACCCUCGGUCCACUACGGUACCUACUUGUUUGGAUACUACGUAUACGUGUAUGUGUACUACACCGACGGGAAAGUUUUUCCCUUCAACCCCGAUAACUAAUUGAAAAAGUUAUUAUUACUCACCGCAUAUAUGCUGUAAAAUCGUAUUCAUGUACGUACGCAAAGUAUGUGAAAAAGAAAUAACAGCAUCGUAAAUACAUAAUUAAAAAAAUUUAAGUCUCAACACUCCUAAUGGAAUACUUAGCACUUUUACCGUACAAGCACAGGUACAAGGUAUACCUGUAUACACCUGUACGCAUUGAAUAUAACUUACGAGCUUUUUUCAUUGGCUUUCAACGAGUAUAUGGAUUACGGCAGAGAUUUUCUCGUUUUUCAUUCAAACCUCGUACGAGCAUCGAAGAGAGAGAGAGAGAACUGAAAAACAUUUUGUCAUUUUUGAAUUGCAGCGAUAACGGUAAAGUGAACUACGGCCGGGGUGAACUUUUUUCGACUCUCCAUUACUUGAUUAUUCGCACACACGUAUAUUUCUUUUUAUUUCAUUUUAUACCUUACCGGCUAGACAACCGAGUCACGUCCACUACCGUAUUGGACCUGUUUGCGUGAUAUUUCCACAGGGUUCGUACGUCACGGGGGCUCGUACAGAGGGUAGUCGCGAUGUGUACAAAAAACGAGAGCUGCGCCUCAUUCAUCCUCUUUUUGAAACAACCCCCGACGGAAAUUGGCCAAUUAUUUGAAGCAGAAAGCAUUCGGAAGCGACCGCUGUUGCGGAACAGAUAUGACAUGUACUUUACGUUAUGCCCAACCGUGCCAGAAAAACGAAAAUUCAGCUACCGAACUAAAACGCAUUGUUCGAAAUUAGCGGAGUUCGUAAAUCGCCAAAAUUUCGACUCUCGAUACGAGCAUUCCGAAACGGAGGACGAAAAAAAAUUAAAAAAAAAAAAGAAGGUAUUCUCCUGAACGGAAGAGGACAGAUAGUUGUCUUUUUUUUUUUCUAAGAAUUGGUUCUACGUCUUGCGGUGGUGAUCUAGGAACGAUGAUGUACGUAAUUUCCUCAGUCUCCUGCAGCGAAGAUUGACAACGCGCAAAUCGCAAAAUCCAAGUAUAUUUAUAUGCUGGGUGUAUCGCACGUAUAUACCUAUAUGUAACUGUCGGCAUAAUUUCGCUCGCGAGAAAGAGCGUGCAAAAAAAAAAAAAUGAAGGAAAUAUACGGAGGGAAGAUUUAUGAUACUUUUCAAUGUUUUUCAAAUUAUUUGUCAGCCCGAAAUAUUCAUAUCUCACGAUGCAGGUUCUCGUAGAAAGAAAGAAAAAAAAAAAAAAACAAAAACAAAAACAAAACAGAACAAACAUUAAAAUAAAUUAUACAAAAAUUGUUAUGCAUAUUCAAAUUACUUUGCGAAGUCAUUCGCUAAGAUUAUGCGAAGUUUCUUUUUCUUUCGAGGUUUCGGAGCUAAAAAAACCUCGAAAAUGAGGGAUCAAAGUAAACCUGGAAAGGAGUGACUUUGCGAAGAAACUUCAAA